AGCUUUGCGCAGUGGCAGUAUUGUAGCCAAUGAGGUUUAUCCGAGGCGCGAUUAUUGCUAAUUAAAAGUCUAUACUUCUAAUAUUUCCAAUUGAUAUGGAUGCUACUGGUCCACUUUGAAGAGC
rnacentral:snRNA from 1 species